AGCUCGUGUCGUGAGAUGUUGGGUUAAGUCCCGCAACGAGCGCCACCCUUGUCUUUAGUUGCCACCAUUAAGUUGGGCACUCUAGAGAACCUGCACAGGAUAACCUGGAGGAAGGUGGGGAUGACGUCAAAUCAUCAUGCCCCUUAUGCUUAGGGCUACACACGUGCUACAAUGGGUAGUACAGAGGGUUGCCAAGCCGUAAGGUGGAGCUAAUCCCUUAAAGCUACUCUCAGUUCGGAUUGUAGGCUGAAACUCGCCUACAUGAAGCUGGAGUUACUAGUAAUCGCAGAUUAGAAUGCUGCGGUGAAUGCGUUCCCGGGUCUUGUACACACCGCCCGUCAAACCACGGGAGUUGGAGACGCCCGAAGCCGAUUAUCUAACCUUUUGGAAGAAGUCGUCGAAGGUGGAAUCAAUAACUGGGGUGAAGUCGUAACAAGGUAGCCGUAUCGGAAGGUGCGGCUGGAUCACCUCCUUUCUAAGGA
rnacentral:rRNA from 1 species